GAUAUGGCUCAGGAUGAACGCUGGCGGCGUGCCUAAUACAUGCAAGUCGAACGCGAGCACUUGUGCUCGAGUGGCGAACGGGUGAGUAAUACAUAAGUAACCUGCCCUAGACAGGGGGAUAACUAUUGGAAACGAUAGCUAAGACCGCAUAGGUACGGACACUGCAUGGUGACCGUAUUAAAAGUGCCUCAAAGCACUGGUAGAGGAUGGACUUAUGGCGCAUUAGCUGGUUGG
rnacentral:rRNA from 1 species